ensembl:Mt_tRNA
UAGAUUGAAGCCAGUUGUUUAGGUUAUUUAGCUGUUAACUAAAUUUUUGUGGGUUAAAGUCCCAUCAAUCUAG